UUAGGUUAGGUUAGGUUAGCUUAGGUUAGGUUUGGUUAGGUUAGGUUUGGUUGGGUUACGUUUGGUUGGGUUAGGUUAGGUUUGGUUGGGUUAGGUUAGGUUAGGUUAGGUUAGGUUUGGUUGGGUUAGGUAAGGUUGCUUCAGGAAAAUCUUUUUUCUUUUCUUUUUUUCUCUUUUUUCAAGUAUUCAUGUUUAAUUAGAUCAUCUGAGUGUACUUAAGUCUCUCUCUCUCUCUCUCUCUCUCUCUCUCUCUCUCUCUCUCUCUCUCUCUC